rnacentral:lncRNA from 1 species
CAAAGCCGCCAUAACGCCAUUAUUUCAAUUCUUCACUUUCUUGUGAUGUUCGAUGCUUUGCUUUGCUAGAAAGAACUUUAAAAUUAUGAUGUUGAACUAUACAACGACUGUGCUUGCCCUGGACUCCGAUAAAUCUGCUUUUUUGUGAAUAUACCGGCUCUGCUCAACGGAUUUUGAUUUGCUCGUUAGAUUCGUUUGUCGUAACAAUGGUUAUAAGUGCUGUGUGUUGUGUACUUAAUUGCGGUAAAACGCGAUUAGAUAAUAUGAUUCUUCACCAAUGACCCAAUCCAAUUAUUGAGCCUGACUGGUUUCGUACCUGGAUUUACUCUAAUGGCAGUGAUGUGUUAGCAAUGGAAAACUGUGUCAUACUCACUUUAAGAAAAAAUAUAAUACUUCAAGCGGAAGACUCAGUUUUACCCAUUUCUCUAUUGAGGUCUUGGGGUAUGGAAUUGAUAAGCAAACCACAUUGCUGCAAUUUCCAAUCAAUGUUCAAGAACCAAUGCAAGAUGAUCAAGUACCCAGAGCCCCUUUGAGGAACAUCACCAAUCAGUACCCACAGGGCGGCUACUAAUCUCAGAUCUCAGCCGUCAGCUUCAGGAAUUGAUAAGCAAGCAAACCGCAUCGCUGCAAUUUGCUAGCAAUAUUCAAGAACCGAUGCAAGAUGAUCAAAUACCCAGAGCCCCUUUGAGGAACAUCACUGAUGUCAGUUCUCAGCCGUCAACUUCAGGUCACGCGCCACGACACACACCCCGAUUUUUCACGGAAGCUAGCAGUUUGGCCAAACAAAUAAAAAAACUUACUGAGACAAAAGAAAAAUAUUCUUUCGUUUAUUGCUCGUGUUGGUGUGGUGAAAAUUGUCGGUAGGAAACACUGCACUUG